AAUCAACGCUGGCGGCGUGCCUCAGACAUGCAAGUCGAACGCGAAAGGUUCCUUCGGGGACCGAGUAGAGUGGCGCACGGGUGAGUAACACGUAGGUAAUUUGCCUUUGGGUGGGGAAUAACAGCCGGAAACGGCUGCUAAUACCGCAUAAUGCAGCGGCUCGACAUCGAGACAGUUGUUAAAGCGGGGAUCGCAAGACCUCGCGCCUAAAGAGAAGCCUGCGGCAGAUUAGCUAGUUGGCAGGGUAAUGGCCUACCAAGGCGACGAUCUGUAACCGGCCUGAGAGGGCGGUCGGUCACACUGACACUGACAUACGGGUCAGACUCCUACGGGAGGCAGCAGUCGGGAAUUUUGGGCAAUGGGCGAAAGCCUGACCCAGCAACGCCGCGUGAAGGAUGAAAUCCCUCGGGAUGUAAACUUCGCAAGAAUGGGAAGAAUAAGUGUGGGCUAAUACCCUCAUGAUGACGGUACCAUUUGUAAGCU
rnacentral:rRNA from 1 species